rnacentral:lncRNA from 1 species
UGUGUGAGUGUCAGGUUGCAAUCACGAUGAAACCAAACAAGGAAUAAUAACAAAUCAUUUACUUAUUCGUUGUCUGACUGUUUUAUGUGUGAGUGUCAGGUUGCUAGUUCUCUUUUUGCAUGUAAUGCAGUGGUGUUUGCUUUUUUGGGUCAAUUGUGCUCUUCUUGUUUCUCUAGCUGUUGAUGAGAUUUUGAAGGAAAGGAGCAACCCUCUGCACUAAUGCAAAACAUGAUAUUGUAGUAUACUUAAAUUUAUGAAGUACUGGAGAUAUAUGCUGCCUAGAUGAUUGGUUAAAUUUUAUUGAUGAUAACUUGUUACUGAUGAAAACUUACACGGCUUUAUUGUGGGGCUGCCUGAUUUUGACUUUGGUGAAUCAAUAUGACAAGAGGGGCUUGGUCUGAUGGUAACCAACCCUCACUUACAACCGAGAGGUUGUGAGUUCGAGUCUCCCCAGGAGCAAAUUCUGGGGAUUUAUGCNN